CUCUGCGGAGUAAGGGGGGGUGGGGCGGGGGAGUCGGCCUCGCCAGUGCGCAUGCGCGAGGCCCGAGCCGCCGCUUGGGUCACAGUGAAAGCCACCGUUGCCCGGGGAUGGGUCCCUGACACUUGGCGAAGUAGGAGCCCUGUGUGAUCGUGCGUCUGAGUCUGGGCUGAGACCAGUCCUGGCCAGGGCAGCUACCGGGACGGUCUCCGGAGGCCGGGAUUCGCGGAGGGUCUACCAGCAGGAAGAAACCCCAGGAGGAAGAAAGCUCAGACAGAUCGCCGGCGAGGCAGCGCGGGAUCCCAGCCUCAGGCGUGCGCGGACGGUGUGCGGGUGAGUCUCCCCAAAAGUGGAGCCCUUGUGAUGACGAGCACAGGUCCGCCUGUGUGCCCGUGGACUGCUCUCUCACCGACGGCUGUUAGUCGCGGAGAGCAGAAUCCGGCAGCUUCAGGGGCUGCCUGGGGGUGGGUGUUACCUGCUGUAUGUGUGCGUUAUGGGUGUGUGUGUGUGUGUGCGUGUAUGUGUGUGUGGCUUUGUGUGUGCGUGCGUGCGUGCGUGCGUGUCUGUGUGCCGACUUCUGUCUCUCUCUUACGCCUCUCUCUCUCUCUCUCUCUCUCUCUCCCUUCUCGCUCUUUCCGUCGCCCUCUCUUUCUGUCUCUGUCCGUCUCUGUGUGCGUGCGCCUUGGGACACAUGCGCCCUGUGCGCCGGACAGUGGGUUUCUUGCACGUCGGCCUUUCUUCUGGUCAGCCUCUCCCCGCGUCUCUGCCUGGGUCGUGUGGCCGGUUGGCAGUCGUGGUCCCGGCGGUUCCAGUUUGGGGGUCUGUGAAGGCCUGGGCAACGUGGGCAUCGGCGUGGGACCCGCAGGGGUUUUCAUCCACUCCCCAUCCGGAGCAGCCUCUUUGCUAGGCUGGAUCCAGACGAGCGCUCCCCAACCAGGGACAACGGCCUCCCAGGCGCUCAUUGUCCACCCGCAGGAGGGUGCCCGCAGAGCUUCAAGAAGGUGGUUGUCACGCCUGUCGCCCUCUGCCCUCAUCGAGAAAUGGAGCCACAGCUCGACGCAGGGACGGAGAAGGAAGCCGGCAAGGGGAUGGGGCAAGCAUGUCUGUCUCUCAAAGGCUGGCCUUCCUGGCCGAGUCACCCGUUUGACACUCCUCCCCGGAUGCCGGUGGUGGUGGCAUGGCCCCCCCGUAUCCUGCCUGGGCUCUGGCCUCUGCUCUGACCUCCCUCUUGCUGUGUCUGCCCCGUCUCUGAGAAGCCUGGCGGCUUCUUAGUGUGGCUCAGUGUCUUCCACAAAGAAGACGUCCCCGUCCAUCAGGGAGAAACCUCGUGGGGGUCCGCGUCAUGAUUGUUUCCCUCUCCACACCUCUUUCUGGGUGAUUGGGCAGCUGAGGUGUUCCUGGAGCUCUGGGCUUCCAUAGCUGUGUGGGACAGGGAAGCUCUCUUGGUCUCCCUGGCCCAAGUGAUGGGUGCACGCUCGGUCCAGGAAGAGGGGGAGGCAAGCCCACCGCUCCUGACAUUGGCCUUCUAGGAAAGGCGGUGUUGCAUCCCACCUGCACUUCCUCUCUGAUUCUUGAGGGCCAACCGGUUCCUCCGCUCCUGGGGAAAGUGCCUUCUAGCACUGAAUCUUUUGGCUGCCACGGAUGUCAGGGAGCCAACGGGACUGGGAUUUGGCUGGGUGCAGGGGAGGUUGCGUCAGGGGUACCUAGCCGGCGGCGGGCUGGGGGUGGGGUGUACUUUGUCCAAAGCUCUCGGCUCCUCUGGCGGGCCUCCCUGAACGUGGCCUGGACUCGCGCACAGGCCCUGUCUCGCAGGUUUUCAGGUGCGCUUGGCUUUUCCUCCGCUUUGUGGGGCAGGUCUCCAGUGGCCCCCGGGGCGCACGCCUGGACAUCACUGUCCGUCUCGUCGUCGCCCCCUACGGCCUCAAAGACACACGCUGCCUGCAUGUGCUCUUGGGGGACGACAGUGCCACGUGUGGUCACACUGGCUCAAGCUCGGACUCGCCUGUGUCUCUCUUUGCCCGUGUCGCCGGAAGCCGCGUCGGGAUGCCGGAGCCCCCGGGCCUUGGAGAUGAAGGCUAGCCCCUGCUCCUGCCAGGAAGGAGGGAGGCAGUGGGCUCAUGGGUCGGUGCCUUUGCAGCCGACAGCACGCCUUGCGGCCCUGAGGAUCUUUCUGUGCCCCGGCGAGACCCUUUCCGCCUCACUGCAUUGGAACCCCACUUCCGAUCGCCCGGUGGGAUCCCUCAUCGGACCCCAAGAGGAGUCCGCGCAGCCCAGCCGGCACCCCGAAGCUCCUCCUUCAGCGGGAGCCGAAGCAGAAGAGCCAUCAAGGAGGUCCUGACCACAGGACUCCUAUGGGUCCGACCCUGGGUCUCCCGCAGGCCCCUCUGGGAGUCCUCUUGCCACCCGCCGCCUCGGGCUGCGCCGCAGCCGCCGUCGCCGCCGCAACCUCCAGCACCGCCGCCCCAGGCCCCUCAGCCGCAGCGUCGCCGCCAUUUUUUAAAGGAUCCGCAGCCUGACUCUGCGGAGUAAGGGGGUUGGUGCGGGGGUGUCGGCCUCGCCAGUGCGCAUGCGCAAGGCCCGAGCCGCCUCUUGGGUCACAGUGAAAGCCACCGUUGCCCGGGGAUGGGUCCCUGACACUUGGCGAAGUAGGAGCCCUGUGCGAUCGUGCAUCUGAGUCUGGGCUGAGACCAGUCCUGGCCAGGGCAGUUACCAGGACAGUCUCCGGAGGCGGGGAUUCGCGCGGGGUCCACCAGCAGGAAGAAACCCCAGGAGGAAGAAAGCUCAGACAGAUCGCCGGCGAGGCAGCGCGGGAUCCCAGCCUCAGGCGUGCGCGGACGGUGUGCGGCACACACAACCAAGCUUAGGAGCCGACUGUUAAGAUGCCCCAGUGACAUGGACAAGUUUCUCCUCUGCAACCCAAUGAGAUCUGCUGACCACGAGAGCAUCGCGGGACCGCCAAAGGAUUCUGGAAAAUGUGGUCCCGGGUGGCCAGUGUGCGCUGACCUUCACCUGAAGGUACGGCUUGAAGGAAACUUCUGGAGGGUGGGGUGGUGUUGAAGAGAAGGCACAGUUGUAACCAUUUUGUUCAACAUGGGCGUUUUCUUUGUGCAUUGAUUUGCAUUUUUAAAGGUAUUCCAUUAAAAAUAUGCUUAUCUA